rnacentral:tRNA from 1 species
GCCAGCAUGGUAUAGUGGUUUGAGUGUUGGACUAUGACUCUGAAGACCAGGGUUCAAUUUCCUGCUUGGCC